rnacentral:misc_RNA from 1 species
GCCGCUUUGAUCGCAGCACCAAAGGCUGACUCGGUGGUUCUAUUACUCUGAAACAUUGUUGGAAUACUAUCGAGCAGCAACUCCAAAUGUUGGCGGCACUCUGAAAGUUGAACAAUGACAUCUGACUCCAGAGGAGUAUAAACAUCUUGUACAUCAGGGACUAUGAGCAUCAAAGGCUGUUGUAAUGCACGUUUCAGAUUGUAGAAGUGAAUUGUUGUGUCAAAUGUAG